UGAUAGCUGUGAAGCGUGAGGUUGCCGCCUGAAAAUGGCGGGUUUUCCGUGGAGCGAAUGUCAAGUUAGGAAACUGGCGACAA
rnacentral:ncRNA from 1 species